rfam:Asian citrus Psyllid, Diaphorina citri - Florida Strain, whole genome shotgun sequence.
AUCAGCAGUCAUUGUUGAACGGAUCACUGAAGUUUUCAAUAAAUCACUGAAGUUAAGCAACGUUUUGCGUGGUUAGUAUCAGGAUGGGUGACCUUCUGGGCAAUCGCGUGUGUUACUGGCU